UUAGCAUAUGAGCUUAAUCCAGGCAGAUUUUAUUUUCACAUUUUACAGAUGAAGAAACUAAGAAUGUGAGACCUAAAAGAACUUGCCCAAGAUGACAAGGGAAAUAAGCAGCAGAACUAGCCAGGGCUCAAAUCCAAAUUUUCUGGCUCCAAAGCACAUGUGCACUGGAAUAUAUGUAAGAAGACUGAACUGUCUCUGAAGGAAUAUAGUAUCAUCCAGAGCCUCUACAGUGUUUCACGCUCACUGUCCAGCAAUCACUAAAGUGCCUGGAAGUUAUAACCAGCUUCCCCCAAGGAAGAUCAUAGCCAACACCUGAUUGCUAUAAGAGGAGUAGAAUUCCUGCAAAAUCUCCAGUCUCUUGCUUCCAGUUGCAGACAUCCUUCACAGACAGAUCAGCAAAAGACCAGAAAGAAUCAGUGUAACAGGAAAUAAACGAGAAAUUCAAAGAUCAUGACCUGUAAUACCUUUUUAACUACUACCUUACCAUCUGACCUUCUGCUAGUAGCUCAUCCUUGCAUACCUCCUUUCUAUAGUUUGUAAAAAUGGGAAUGACAACAGUGUGGUUACCCCCCAAAGGGAUUGGGUAGAAAAAACGGGCACAGGGGCUGUAAAAUACCUUGCAGGCCAUAAAAUGCUACAUAAAUGCUUGAAAACAAAACAAGAGCCCCAUGGUUUAAUAUAAAACUAGUUUUUCAGCUAAACUAAGUACUAGCAGAAGUAACUGAGAUCAAACAGGAAAAUAUGCAAAGCUCCUGGUCAUGAUUAAAAGGGUUUAUUUGUUUGAAUUGAUUUUAUGGACUGAUGGGUAUGUGUCUGCACAGACUACACGAGCCAAUGUGUAUGGAGUCAUCCAGUCAUGACACGGUACUCUUCACAGGAUA